UGAAAACUUCAUCUUUCUCUCCAAGAAAGCCAUAGUCGACCUUCAUCUCUUUCCUUCCUCUUUUCUUUUCAUCUUCAAGAAACCAAGUUCCCCUCAUCUCCUUCAAGCCGUGCCACUCCAUAGCAAGGGAAGAAAACAUCUUCCUCCAUCUCCAAGCCAUGUGUACCUCAUCUCUACCCAUUUUCGGUUUUGACUCAAAGCUUGGAACCAAAGCUUGAUUUCAUCUUCCAAAUGGUCAAAUAUUGAAGUGCCAUCAUUUCAUUCAUCAUCUACAUGGGUUUACCACUAUUUGGUCCUCUAUCUUGCCUCUUGAAAGAAGCUAAGAGCUUCAGGACCUAUAUUGAUGUUAGAAGUAUCGGGGAGCAUAGAGGUAAAUGACGAAGAGGUUGGGGAGCAAGGCAUUACUGCAGAGGGAGAGGCAGACACUUAGUGUCUUCCUUAUUGGUUCGACCUUACAUGGAUGAUGGGUUAUGUUUAUGGAUGUUGUUUUUAUGUUGGGAUGGAGUCUCUUCCUAACUAAAAUAGUUAUAUUUUUAUGAACGUAUGAUGGAC